UUGCAAGGUCAAGUGAAGAAGGGCGCACGGUGAAUGCCUUGGCACUGGAAGCCGAUGAAGGACGCGACUAACCGCGAAAGUCUUCGGGGAGCCGUAAGUAGGCUUUGAUCCGGAGGUCUCCGAAUGGGGGAACCCAGCAUGUGCAGACAUGCUAUCCUUAAGUGAAUACAUAGCUUAAGGAGGGAACACGCAGUGAACUGAAACAUCUAAGUAGCUGCAGGAAGAGAAAGAAAUAUCGAUUUCCAAAGGAGGCCUAUCAGUAUCCUGAGUAGGGCGGGACACGUGAAAUCCCGUUUGAAUCCGCGAGGACCAUCUCGCAAGGCUAAAUACUAACCAGUGACCGAUAGUGAACCAGUACCGUGAGGGAAAGGUGAAAAGAACCCCGGGAGGGGAGUGAAAGAGAACCUGAAACCGUGUGCCUACAAGUAGUCAGAGCCCGUUAACGGGUAAUGGCGUGCCUUUUGUAGAAUGA
rnacentral:rRNA from 1 species